rnacentral:rRNA from 1 species
GAAUAUUGGACAAUGGGCGAAAGCCUGAUCCAGCAACGCCGCGUGGAGGAAGAAGGUCUUCGGAUCGUAAACUCCUGUCAGAUGGGACGAAAUGGCAGCGGCGAACAGUCGCCGUCUUUGACGGUACCAUCAGAGGAAGCCCCGGCUAACUCCCCGCCGGCAGCCGCGGUAAUACGGAGGGGGCUAGCGUUAUUCGGAAGUAUUGGGCGUAAAGCGCGCGUAGGCGGCUUGGUAAGUCAUGGGUGAAAUCCCUCGGCUCAACCGAGGAAUUGCCUUUGAAACUACCUCGCUCGAGGCCGGGAGGGGGUAGCGGAAUUCCCAGUGUAGCGGUGAAAUGCGUAGAUAUUGGGAGGAACACCGGUGGCGAAGGCGGCUACCUGGACCGGUUCUGACGCUGAUGCGCGAAAGCGUGGGGAGCAAACAGG